rnacentral:rRNA from 1 species
UUAAGUUAUUAAGGGCGCACGGUGGAUGCCUUGGCACUAGAAGCCGAUGAAGGACGUUACUAACGACGAUAUGCUUUGGGGAGCUGUAAGUAAGCUUUGAUCCAGAGAUUUCCGAAUGGGGAAACCCAGCAUGAGUUAUGUCAUGUUAUCGAUAUGUGAAUACAUAGCAUAUCAGAAGGCACACCCGGAGAACUGAAACAUCUUAGUACCCGGAGGAAGAGAAAGAAAAUUCGAUUCCCUUAGUAGCGGCGAGCGAAACGGGAAGAGCCCAAACCAACAAGCUUGCUUGUUGGGGUUGUAGGACACUCUAUACGGAGUUACAAAGGACGACAUUAGACGAAUCAUCUGGAAAGAUGAAUCAAAGAAGGUAAUAAUCCUGUAGUCGAAAAUGUUGUCUCUCUUGAGUGGAUCCUGAGUACGACGGAGCACGUGAAAUUCCGUCGGAAUCUGGGAGGACCAUCUCCUAAGGCUAAAUACUCUCUAGUGACCGAUAGUGAACCAGUACCGUGAGGGAAAGGUGAAAAGCACCCCGGAAGGGGAGUGAAAUAGAACCUGAAACCGUGUGCUUACAAGUAGUCAGAGCCCGUUAAUGGGUGAUGGCGUGCCUUUUGUAGAAUGAACCGGCGAGUUACGAUUUGAUGCAAGGUUAAGCAGUAAAUGUGGAGCCGUAGCGAAAGCGAGUCUGAAUAGGGCGUUUAGUAUUUGGUCGUAGACCCGAAACCAGGUGAUCUACCCUUGGUCAGGUUGAAGUUCAGGUAACACUGAAUGGAGGACCGAACCGACUUACGUUGAAAAGUGAGCGGAUGAACUGAGGGUAGCGGAGAAAUUCCAAUCGAACCUGGAGAUAGCUGGUUCUCUCCGAAAUAGCUUUAGGGCUAGCCUCAAGUGAUGAUUAUUGGAGGUAGAGCACUGUUUGGACGAGGGGCCCCUCUCGGGUUACCGAAUUCAGACAAACUCCGAAUGCCAAUUAAUUUAACUUGGGAGUCAGAACAUGGGUGAUAAGGUCCGUGUUCGAAAGGGAAACAGCCCAGACCACCAGCUAAGGUCCCAAAAUAUAUGUUAAGUGGAAAAGGAUGUGGCGUUGCCCAGACAACUAGGAUGUUGGCUUAGAAGCAGCCAUCAUUUAAAGAGUGCGUAAUAGCUCACUAGUCGAGUGACACUGCGCCGAAAAUGUACCGGGGCUAAACAUAUUACCGAAGCUGUGGAUUGUCCUUUGGACAAUGGUAGGAGAGCGUUCUAAGGGCGUUGAAGCAUGAUCGUAAGGACAUGUGGAGCGCUUAGAAGUGAGAAUGCCGGUGUGAGUAGCGAAAGACGGGUGAGAAUCCCGUCCACCGAUUGACUAAGGUUUCCAGAGGAAGGCUCGUCCGCUCUGGGUUAGUCGGGUCCUAAGCUGAGGCCGACAGGCGUAGGCGAUGGAUAACAGGUUGAUAUUCCUGUACCACCUAUAAUCGUUUUAAUCGAUGGGGGGACGCAGUAGGAUAGGCGAAGCGUGCGAUUGGAUUGCACGUCUAAGCAGUAAGGCUGAGUAUUAGGCAAAUCCGGUACUCGUUAAGGCUGAGCUGUGAUGGGGAGAAGACAUUGUGUCUUCGAGUCGUUGAUUUCACACUGCCGAGAAAAGCCUCUAGAUAGAAAAUAGGUGCCCGUACCGCAAACCGACACAGGUAGUCAAGAUGAGAAUUCUAAGGUGAGCGAGCGAACUCUCGUUAAGGAACUCGGCAAAAUGACCCCGUAACUUCGGGAGAAGGGGUGCUCUUUAGGGUUAACGCCCAGAAGAGCCGCAGUGAAUAGGCCCAAGCGACUGUUUAUCAAAAACACAGGUCUCUGCUAAACCGUAAGGUGAUGUAUAGGGGCUGACGCCUGCCCGGUGCUGGAAGGUUAAGAGGAGUGGUUAGCUUCUGCGAAGCUACGAAUCGAAGCCCCAGUAAACGGCGGCCGUAACUAUAACGGUCCUAAGGUAGCGAAAUUCCUUGUCGGGUAAGUUCCGACCCGCACGAAAGGCGUAACGAUUUGGGCACUGUCUCAACGAGAGACUCGGUGAAAUCAUAGUACCUGUGAAGAUGCAGGUUACCCGCGACAGGACGGAAAGACCCCGUGGAGCUUUACUGUAGCCUGAUAUUGAAAUUCGGCACAGCUUGUACAGGAUAGGUAGGAGCCUUUGAAACGUGAGCGCUAGCUUACGUGGAGGCGCUGGUGGGAUACUACCCUAGCUGUGUUGGCUUUCUAACCCGCACCACUUAUCGUGGUGGGAGACAGUGUCAGGCGGGCAGUUUGACUGGGGCGGUCGCCUCCUAAAAGGUAACGGAGGCGCUCAAAGGUUCCCUCAGAAUGGUUGGAAAUCAUUCAUAGAGUGUAAAGGCAUAAGGGAGCUUGACUGCGAGACCUACAAGUCGAGCAGGGUCGAAAGACGGACUUAGUGAUCCGGUGGUUCCGCAUGGAAGGGCCAUCGCUCAACGGAUAAAAGCUACCCCGGGGAUAACAGGCUUAUCUCCCCCAAGAGUUCACAUCGACGGGGAGGUUUGGCACCUCGAUGUCGGCUCAUCGCAUCCUGGGGCUGUAGUCGGUCCCAAGGGUUGGGCUGUUCGCCCAUUAAAGCGGUACGCGAGCUGGGUUCAGAACGUCGUGAGACAGUUCGGUCC